ACGAGUUCUUCACAUUAGAUGUUUUAGGCCGCUCCUCCUUGAAGUGUACCACACCUGUCCCGUCAUUCGCUGACACAAUUGCUGUGCUGUCGGAUUUGAGUUCAACGGCAGGCAACAAAGUCAGAGGUUUGUUUUCUUAGUGAGAAACUGAAGCAUAUCUCGAGCUGCAGUGAUUAAGGCGUUCAGGAACCAUUAAGCAGUUAAAUUGUCUCACAUCCCCAUCUUCAGAUGUGACCUCCCACCCCUGCUGGCUCAGUGGCCGACAUUCUGGUGUCUGAUGCGCAGCGCUCUGGAUAUCGGUUAAGUCACGGUCAUUUCCGACUGUCCCUGUGGUGAGGCGAAAAGAUGAGCUGGAUAGAGAUGGAGGAUGGAUGCAGCCAUUGUCUUGGCAGACUAUAAACUAUUUUUGACUUCAAUUUUUCCUUGUUCUUGCACCGUUUAGGAGACAAGCAGACGCCUCAUCUCUUCCUGCUCCCUUCUCCUACUCAUCACUCUCCUGUUCUUUAUUUUUCUCUAUCCACGGGUUGGCUUUGGUCAUCCUGUCCACUGCCAGAUGUGCGGAGGGAAUAGGAACAAAAAGAGACUGGCACUUGGCAUCUCAAAUGUACCAGUCUGGUUUUAUUUUAUGUUUUUCAUUACACUUUUCAGUGUCAGAGUGUAGAAAGUGGUCGGUUUAUAAAUUUCACAUAGUGGCCACGCAUCCGGUGACAGUCUCCUUUCUGAGAAUAGUCGUGUCACUAACGCGAAGUAAAUCAAGAACAGACAGCAAAAUCCAAACACAUCAGGGAAGUUAAGCUGACAUUCAAAACCCAUGGCAGCCGCAUCACUGGAUAUCAUAGUUCUGUUUGGUGAAAUGAUGAUUAUCAUAAUUGUUCUGUGAACUGCAGCAGUAUGGGGUUGUAAUAGGCUCUCUGCCCUCAACAGGAACUACUGGGAACGGUGCACGAGCUUGCCAAAACCACAGAGCGUACUACUCUGCCCUGUGGUUGACAAUACAGGGAGAACAUAGCAAAAGGCCGAUGAAACAAAGAAUGAGGCACACUAUAGGGUCCCAUAAAGACUUUCAUAUGUACAGUGCCCUGUAUGUUUCAGGCACAGCAGCAUGACUUGGCUGCGACUCAAGGCAAUCAAUAAAUACCUUUCAUGAGUAGAUCUGACUCCACAGAUCAUAGCACUGUUAGUCAUGUGUGCCUCACUCCUCCAGACUUUUCUUCCCCGUCAUUUGGCUGUUUCAGAGAUAGCUUUGCUAUAAUGGCUGUAAGUUAUACUUUAAAAAAUCUGCAGUCUUUUUUUUGUCUAUGAUGUAAAGCUCUAUAAGAAAAGAGAACAUGCAAUUGGGGUUGAUUAGCUGUAAAAUACAAGAAGCUUUGGACUAAUUUUGUUAGAGCCACUAGAUUUACUUUGAAAAGAACAACUUCUAGAGCAUUUUAAGUAGACAUAAGCACAGGUGUACAGAUCCACGAUGGACAAAACAUGUACAGAUCUUUUAGGAAAUGUAUUUAAAAAAGAAAAAUGGAUUAAAGUUGUGGUGAGAUCCACUAUCAACAGUCCCAUCAACAGACAGAAGAUUCUUAAUCUGUUGUUUGUUUUUUGUUUUUUUCUAUAAAACAUUUCUGCACAAUU